rnacentral:lncRNA from 1 species
CCGCGUCCGCGCCGCCCUCCCGCCCGGCUCCGGGUAGUUUCCCGCUUCUGAGUCCCGGCCGUUGGCGGCUGUUGGCGGCCGUUACCUCCCCGUUGCCGGGAGGAGUCCGAGCGGAUUUAGAGUCCUCGGAAGUCCACCGUGCCGUCCGGCCACGGGUAGAGGGAGGCAAAGGGAAGGAGGACUUGACAGUGGGCCUGUCGGGGGCCAUUCGGUAAACUCCAAAGAGCCGAGGGUCCUGAGUGGGAGGGAGCCACGGGCUCGCGAGGAGGCUGCGAGGCGAUCCACGACCUUUCGGGAUGUGAUGCUCACCCGGGACGGGGCUGGGGGACCGCAGAGCCGUGACUCGCCCGGGACCCAGAGCAGAAACUCCAGGUCGCUUCUGGCAUUUUACCUGCAAAAGCAGAUGAGCACACGAGCCCAGAGAGCUGAUUUCCCCCGGUCGCACAGCUAGAGAGCCCAGGAUGGCUUCUUGCUCAGUGCCAUACUCUGUGAAAAUUAUUGGAGAGACCGGCCAGAAGGGAGAGGAAGUGAUGAAGAGGAUUAACACCCUGCUUCUAAUUCUGGCCACCUCAGAGGCUCUGCACGGAAAAUCAGAAGUGACAGGAAUCCUGGAAGAGGGCCACCUGGCCAUCAGAAAAUUCCAGAGAGAUGUGGUCACUGCCAGACAUACAGUCGAUUGGCCAUUUCAUCCGAAAAUGUUCUUUAAACUAACCGGAAGUGGGUCUGGCUCCAAGCUACUGCCAAGUCUCCCCUGUCGUUGGUUUUCCUGUGUGUGUAAAGCAAGGUGCGAGGAAAAGAAAAGGACACCCCUGUCACACCUGGGAAGACAGAACACUCAUCCCAUACAUACAGAGGACAAUGUCAAGACAUUACGGGAGCAUACUGAAGAUCUCCCAGUUUUGCAAAAUACAUGCUAGGGGGACUACAAGAUGGAACAGAGCUCUGAUUAUCCAUACUUAAUUAUUCAUGGCUGGUGUUAUCUAAUAUUAAUAAAGCAAACAAAUGCAAUGC